UACAGAGGGUGCGAGCGUUGUCCGGAAUCACUGGGCGUAAAGGGCGCGUAGGCGGUCCGCUAAGCGUGUGGUGAAAGCUCGGGGCUCAACCCCGAGUCGGCCAUGCGAACUGGUGGACUGGAGCCUGUCAGAGGCAAGCGGAAUUCCGGGUGUAGCGGUGGAAUGCGUAGAGAUCCGGAAGAACACCGGUGGCGAAGGCGGCCUCCUGGAUCAACACUGACGCUGAGGUGCGAAAGCGUGGGGAGCAAACAGG
rnacentral:rRNA from 1 species